GUGCCUAACACAUGCAAGUCGUGCGGGAAAGUAGGGGCAACUCUGCGAGUACAGCGGCGCACGGGUGAGUAACACGUAGGUAACCUACCUUUGAGCCCGGGAUAACCUGUCGAAAGGCGGGCUAAUACCGGAUAAGACCACCGAGGCUGCGGCUUCAGUGGUAAAAGAUGGCCUCUGCUUGCAAGCUAUCACUUGAAGAUGGGCCUGCGCGCCAUUAGCUAGUUGGCGGGGUAAGAGCCCACCAAGGCAAAGAUGGCUAGCUGGUCUGAGAGGAUGACCAGCCACACUGGGACUGAGACACGGCCCAG
rnacentral:rRNA from 1 species